UUUAACUUUUUGUAUUUAUUUCAGAAAUCCAUUGAAAUCAAGAGUUUAGAGCCUCUGGCAGGUUGUAUGUACUCCCCUCCCAGGGGAGACCUGCCGAAGCAACAGCGUAAGAUUCACAAAGGGUGUUGAGUAGUAACUCUGUAAUGAUCCCUCCGCUGGUUCACCAACGGAGA
rnacentral:misc_RNA from 1 species